rnacentral:rRNA from 1 species
AAUGAACGCUGGCGGCGCGCCUAAUACAUGCAAGUCGAGCGAGAAGACGUAGCAAUACGUUUGUAAAGCGGCGAACGGGUGAGGAAUACAUGGGUAACCUACCCUCGAGUGGGGAAUAACUAGCCGAAAGGUUAGCUAAUACCGCGUACGCUCCUUGGACUUCGGUUCAGGGAGGAAAGCGAUACCGUGGGUAUCGCGCUCUUGGAUGGGCUCAUGUCCUAUCAGCUUGUUGGGAGGUAACGGCUCACCAAGGCUUCGACGGGUAGCUGGUCUGAGAGGACGAUCAGCCACACUGGCACUGCGACACGGGCCAGACUCCUACGGGAGGCAGCAGUAAGGAAUAUUGCGCAAUGGGCGAAAGCCUGACGCAGCGACGCCGCGUGGGGGAUGAAGGUCUUCGGAUUGUAAACCCCUUUCGGGAGGGAAGAUGGAACGAGCAAUCGUUCGGACGGUACCUCCAGAAGCAGCCACGGCUAACUUCGUGCCAGCAGCCG